CGAGUUGUAAUUUAGAGAAGUGUUAUCCGCGUUGGACCGUGUACAAGUUUCCUGGAAUGGAGCUAUCAUAGAGGGUGAGAAUCCCGUACAUGACACGGACUACCAAGGCUUUGUGAUGCGCUCUCGAAGAGUCGAGUUGUUUGGGAAUGCAGCUCAAAAUGGGUGGUAAAUUCCAUCUAAAGCUAAAUAUUGGCGAGAGACCGAUAGCGAACAAGUACCGUGAGGGAAAGAUGAAAAGAACUUUGGAAAGAGAGUUAAACAGUACGUGAAAUUGCUGAAAGGGAAACGCUUGAAGUCAGUCGCGUUGUCUGGGGAUCAACCUUGCUCUUUUGCUUGGUGUACUUCCUAGUUGACGGGUCAACAUCAGUUUUGACUGUUGGAUAAAGGUUGAGGGAAUGUGGCAUCCUCGGAUGUGUUAUAGCCCUUGAUUGUAUACAAUGGUUGGGACUGAGGAACUCAGCACGCCGCAAGGCCGGGUUUUUAACCACGUUCGUGCUUAGGAUGUUGGCAUAAUGGCUUUAAUCGACCCGUCUUGAAACACGGACCAAGGAGUCUAACAUGCCUGCGAGUAUUUGGGUGGAAAACCCGAGUGCGUAAUGAAAGUGAAAGUUGAGAUCUCUGUCGUGGAGAGCAUCGACGCCCGGACCAGACCUUUUGUGACGGCUCCGCGGUAGAGCAUGUAUGUUGGGACCCGAAAGAUGGUGAACUAUGCCUGAAUAGGGUGAAGCCAGAGGAAACUCUGGUGGAGGCUCGUAGCGAUUCUGACGUGCAAAUCGAUCGUCGAAUUUGGGGUAUAGGGGGCGAAAGACUAAUCGAACCAUCUUAUUUUGCUACUUGGUGGUUAAGAGGCAACUAAAAGGGUUAGCCUAGUAAGAGUUGAGGAUUGCAACAUUGUCAAAUUGCGGGGACGUUCUUAGAGCCCUUGCUACCGCCUCUACAUGGGAAACCAUAGUAGUAGUGCACCAGGGUAAUGACCUCGGGUAUGGUAAAAACGCAAAGGAUUGGACAAUCCGCAGCCAAGUCCUAAAAGCUAGUAGUAAUACUUACUAGUUCACGGAUGCAGUUCACAGACUAAAUGGCAAUGGGUAUAGCAUUUCAAAGUGCUAUGCUUAAGAUAUAGUCGGUCCCGUUGCGAAAGCAAACCAAUGAAUGUGGUCUAGUGUUCCUCAACUUUAAGACACUGUUCCCCGAGUCAUUGGGAAGGUAAUACUUGUUUUGUUACUUGGAA
rnacentral:ncRNA from 1 species